AGCGGAGGAAAAGAAACCAACAGGGAUUGCCUCAGUAACGGCGAGUGAAGCGGCAAAAGCUCAAAUUUUAAAGCUGGCACCUCCGGUGUCCGCGUUGUAAUUUUGUGAGGCAUCUCCGGGUAGGGCGCCGGCCUAAGUUCCUUGGAACAGGACGUCAUAGAGGGUGAGAAUCCCGUGCUUGGCUGGCUGUCCCCGUCCAUGUGAGGUGUCUUCGACGAGUCGAGUUGUUUGGGAAUGCAGCUCAAAAUGGGUGGUAAAUUUCAUCUAAAGCUAAAUAUUGGUGGGAGACCGAUAGCGCACAAGUAGAGUGAUCGAAAGAUGAAAAGCACUUUGAAAAUAGAGUUAAAAAGUACGUGAAAUUGUUGAAAGGGAAGCGCUUGAGACCAGAUUUCGGUGGGGAGUGAUCAGCUGUCCUUCUGGGCGGUGCACUUGCUCCCCUCCGGGCCAGCAUCGGUUGGGACGGCGGGAUAAAGGUCCCGGGAAUGUGGCUCCUUUCGGGGAGUGUUAUAGCCCGGGUGAAUGCCGUCAGCCCCGACCGAGGACCGCGCCUUCGGGCUAGGAUGCUUGGCAUAAUGGUCUUCAGCGACCCGUCU
rnacentral:rRNA from 1 species